AGCGAACGUUAGCGGCGCGCCUAACACAUGCAAGUCGCACGAGAAAGGGGGCAACCCCCGGUACAGUGGCGCACGGGUGAGUAACACGUGGGUGAUCUGCCCAGAAGAAGGGGAUAACCUCUCGAAAGGGGGGCUAAUACCGCAUAGGACCACCGGGGCUUUGGCUCUGUGGUGAAAGGGGGCCUCUGUUUACAAGCUCCUGCUUCUGGAUGAGCCCGCGUCCCAUCAGCUAGUUGGUAGGGUAAUGGCCUACCAAGGCUACGACGGGUAGCUGGUCUAAGAGGAUGGCCAGCCACACUGGAACUGAGACACGGUCCAGACUCCUACGGGAGGCAGCAGUGGGGAAUCUUGCGCAAUGGGCGAAAGCCUGACGCAGCGACGCCGCGUGGGUGACGAAGGCCUUCGGGUUGUAAAGCCCUGUGGGGUAGAACGAACUGGCAUCGGGCUAAUAUCCCGGUGUCUUGACGGUACUGCCUUAGCAAGCAUCGGCUAACUCUGUG
rnacentral:rRNA from 1 species